AUUUAAUUAGAUUUUUAUGCCCCACCUACGAUAGUAGAGGGGCAUUAUGUUUUCUGGUCUGUGCGUCCGUUCGUCCGUUCGUCCGUCCGUCCGUCUGUCUGUCUGUUCGUCCGUCUGUCCCGCUUCAGGUUAAAGUUUUUGGUCAAGGUAGUUUUUGAUGAAGUUGAAGUCCAAUCAACUUGAAACUUAGUACACAUGUUCCUUAUGAUAUGAUCUUUCUAAUUUUAAAGCCAAAUUAAACUUUUGACCCCACUUUCACGGUCCACUGAACAUACAAAAUGAAAGUGCAUGUUUCAGGUUAAAGUUUUUGGUCAAGGUAGUUUUUGAUGAAGUUGAAGUCCAAUCAACUUGAAACUUAGUACACAUGUUCCCUAUGAUAUUAUCUUUCUAAUUUUAAUGUCUUAUUAUAUUUUUUAUCCAAUUUCACGGUCCAUUGAACAUGGAAAAUGAUAGUGCGAGUGGGGCAUCCGUGUACUUUGGACACAUUCUUGUUUUU
rnacentral:lncRNA from 1 species